rnacentral:rRNA from 1 species
CCGUGCCCAAGAGAUCGGGAUAACACCUGGAAACAGAUGCUAAUACCGGAUAACAACAGAUGAUGCCUAUCAACUGUUUAAAAGAUGGUUCUGCUAUCACUCUUGGAUGGACCUGCGGUGCAUUAGCUAGUUGGUAGGGUAACGGCAUACCAAGGCGAUGAUGCAUAGCCGAGUUGAGAGACUGAUCGGCCACAUUGGGACUGAGACACGGCCCAAACUCCUACGGGAGGCAGCAGCC